rnacentral:rRNA from 1 species
CACGCCGUAAACGAUGUCUACUAGCCGUUGGGUUCCUUGAGGACUUAGUGGCGCAGCUAACGCAAUAAGUAGACCGCCUGGGGAGUACGGUCGCAAGAUUAAAACUCAAAUGAAUUGACGGGGGCCCGCACAAGCGGUGGAGCAUGUGGUUUAAUUCGACGCAACGCGAAGAACCUUACCAGGUCUUGACAUCCAGAGAACUUUCCAGAGAUGGAUUGGUGCCUUCGGGAACUCUGAGACAGGUGC